rnacentral:rRNA from 1 species
UAGCUAGUUGGUGAGGUAAAGGCUUACCAAGGCGACGAUCUGUAGCGGGUCUGAGAGGAUGAUCCGCCACACUGGAACUGAGACACGGUCCAGACUCCUACGGGAGGCAGCAGUGGGGAAUUUUGGACAAUGGGGGCAACCCUGAUCCAGCCAUGCCGCGUGAGUGAAGAAGGCCUUCGGGUUGUAAAGCUCUUUCGGCCGGGAAGAAAUCGCAUGGGCCAAUACCCUGUGUGGAUGACGGUACCGGAAUAAGAAGCACCGGCUAACUACGUGCCAGCAGCCGCGGUAAUACGUAGGGUGCGAGCGUUAAUCGGAAUUACUGGGCGUAAAGCGUGCGCAGGCGGUUUUGUAAGACAGGCGUGAAAUCCCCGGGCUUAACCUGGGAACUGCGUUUGUGACUGCAAGGCUAGAGUACGGCAGAGGGGGGUGGAAUUCCACGUGUAGCAGUGAAAUGCGUAGAGAUGUGGAGGAACACCAAUGGCGAAGGCAGCCCCCUGGGUCGAUACUGACGCUCAUGCACGAAAGCGUGGGUAGCAAACAGGAUUAGAUACCCUGGUAGUCCACGCCCUAAACUAUGUCAACUAGGUGUUGGGUGGGUAAAACCAUUUAGUACCGUAGCUAACGCGUGAAGUUGACCGCCUGGGGAGUACGGCCGCAAGGUUAAAACUCAAAGGAAUUGACGGGGACCCGCACAAGCGGUGGAUGAUGUGGAUUAAUUCGAUGCAACGCGAAAAACCUUACCUACCCUUGACAUGCCAGGAACUUGCCAGAGAUGGCUUGGUGCCCGAAAGGGAGCCUGGACACAGGUGCUGCAUGGCUGUCGUCAGCUCGUGUCGUGAGAUGUUGGGUUAAGUCCCGCAACGAGCGCAACCCUUGUCGUUAAUUGCCAUCAUUUAGUUGGGCACUUUAACGAGACUGCCGGUGACAAACCGGAGGAAGGUGGGGAUGACGUCAAGUCCUCAUGGCCCUUAUGGGUAGGGCUUCACACGUCAUACAAUGGUCGGUACAAAGGGUUGCCAAGCCGCGAGGCGGAGCCAAUCCCAGAAAGCCGAUCGUAGUCCGGAUUGCAGGCUGCAACUCGCCUGCAUGAAGUCGGAAUCGCUAGUAAUCGUGGAUCAGCAUGUCACGGUGAAUACGUUCCCGGGUCUUGUACACACCGCCCGUCACACCAUGGGAGCGGGUUCCGCCAGAAGUAGGUAGCCUAACCGCAAGGGGGGCGCUUACCACGGCGGGGUUCGUGACUGGGGUGAAGUCGUAACAAGGUAGCCGUAGGGGAACCUGCGGCU